AGCCCUACCCGACUGACAGAGUUAAAGGCACCCUACUGCAGGAUAUGGCACUUGAGUAUGAUUCUAUACAUGACAUCACUCCUCUUAGAGACAAAUGGAAGAUCAAAGUCAGAGUGAUUUGUCUGUAUACUAUACCUGAAUUUCAUCGUCCAGAAGUUGUGAAUAGCCUAGAGUUAGUUUUUUCUGAUCAAAAUAUAAGAUACGACUUUCAUUUUCAAAUUGAACAUACGUUUGCUUUGUUUUUACUAAAAGGUACUACAUAAUUUGUUUAUUUUCUAUUUUAGGGAGAUAGGAUACAUGCAACGAUAAGAAAAGCUUUCCUGAACAAAUUUAAAGGCCUUUUUACGGAAAGAAAAGUUUAUGUGAUCAACCAGUUUGGAGUGGGGCAGAGCAAUGCCUCCUACAGGACCACUAUACAUCCUUACAAAAUCAAUUUUCAAUAUUCUACGGUUGCACGUGAGAUGGAAAAUGUUUUGACAAUAUCAAAGUAUAGAUUUAUAUUUAUCCCUUUUGAUGAAAUACUUGCUAAUGUCGCUGAUGACAAAUAUUUAGUAGGUAAGAGUUGUUACAUGCAUCAAAUAUUUGAUUUUUAAAAUUCAAUUUUUAAUAUGUGUACCUAUUAUAUUGAUUCUUACAUUUCAUUUUUCUAAUUUAUCAGAUGUCAUUGGGAAGCUUUCUGAAAUUAGUAGAAUGGAAGAAAGUUGUAAGGACGGUAAGGAAACAAAAAAGAUUACGAUACUACUUGAGGAUGACAAGUAGGUGCUCAUAAUUAUAAAUAGAUACUUUCCAUCUUCAUGCAACAAAGUUUUUUUUCUUUAUAUUUUCUUGAAG